rnacentral:rRNA from 1 species
UUGCAGAAUUCAGUGAAUCAUCGAAUCUUUGAACGCACCUUGCGCUCCUUGGUAUUCCGAGGAGCAUGCCUGUUUGAGUGUCAU